GAUGAACGCUAGCGGCAGGCCUAAUACAUGCAAGUCGAGGGGCAGCGGGAGUAGCAAUACUUGCCGGCGACCGGCGCACGGGUGCGUAACACGUAUACAAUCUACCUUUAACAGGGGGAUAGCCCGGAGAAAUCCGGAUUAAUACCCCAUAACAAAUUGAAUGGCAUCAUUUGAUUUUGAAAGCUUCGGCGGUUAGAGAUGAGUAUGCGCCUGAUUAGUUAGUUGGUGAGGUAACGGCUCACCAAGACCACGAUCAGUAGGGGAUCUGAGAGGAUUAACCCCCACACGGAUACUGAGACACGGAUCCGACUCCUACGGGAGGCAGCAGUAAGGAAUAUUGGACAAUGCCCGCAAGGGUGAUCCAGCCAUGCCGCGUGCAGGAAGACGGCCCUAUGGGUUGUAAACUGCUUUUACACCGGAGAAAACCUUCCCUCGUGAGGGGAGCUGAUAGUAUGGUGAGAAUAAGC
rnacentral:rRNA from 1 species